rnacentral:rRNA from 1 species
UACGUAGGGUGCAAGCGUUACUCGGAAUUAUUGGGCGUAAAGCGUGCGCAGGCGGCUUUGCAAGUCAGAUGUGAAAUCCCCGGGCUUAACCUGGGAACUGCAUUUGUGACUGCAUGGCUAGAGUGCGGCAGAGGGGGAUGGAAUUCCGCGUGUAGCAGUGAAAUGCGUAGAUAUGCGGAGGAACACCGAUGGCGAAGGCAAUGCCCUGGGCCGGCACUGACGCUCAGGCACGAAAGCGUGGGGAGCAAACAGG